AUACUUACGUUGGUGGGGUCGAUCGAUGAUGAGGAAGGUCUAUGGUCUAGGAAGGCCACCUCCAUUGCACUUGGCAGGGGGAUCUAACUAAGGAGAGUGCAUGUCAUAAUUUGUGGUAGCAGAGGCUCGCGUUCGACCUCCA
rnacentral:snRNA from 9 species